UACGGAGGGUGCGAGCGUUGUCCGGAAUCAUUGGGCGUAAAGGGCGCGUAGGUGGCCCGGUCAGUCAGUGGUGAAAGCGCGGGGCUCAACUCCGCGUCGGCCAUUGAUACUGCUGGGCUGGAGCACUGUAGAGGCAGGCGGAAUUCCGGGUGUAGCGGUGGAAUGCGCAGAUAUCAGGAAGAACACCCGUGGCGAAGGCGGCUCUCUGGGACGGUACUGACGCUGAGACGCGAAAGCGUGGGGAGCGAACAGG
rnacentral:rRNA from 1 species